ACAUCCAUUCGAAUCGUUAUCGCAAUCUCAUCGUUCGCAUCACUCAAUAUACUCCAAUAAUAUUCCAUGACUGACGUAAUGACCAGCGGGAUGACCAGCAGUUCAUCACCAACCGUGCCAACUGGACCGCCCAAGCCCAGGAAAAAGGGGAUGAUGAGCAACGAACGAAAAGCAUAUACAAGUAUACCUGCGUGACGUCAUAAGGUCAAAGGAGUUGAAGAGCCUCAGGGACGCCAGACUCCACAGUGUCGUCAAAGAUGUCAUCCAGAUGGAGGGGAUUGAGAACAACCAAGAAAACUACGACGCCAUCCGGUUAGAUAUCAGGAACGUCUUGUUCAACAAGAACAGGAAACCAAGAGUCCCCAAAGUGCCCAAACGACAAGUCGCGGAGUUGAAGCCUGUAAUCAAUCAAGCACCUGCACCAACCAUGGCACCUACGGCCAAUUCAUCAUCCCUCAUCGCCCCGUGUCCACGGUCACGUGUGUGUGUGUAUUUGAGUUUUGUCAGACGUGUAUCAAUCAGAUAUGAUUAUUUACGUCUAGGACCGACCUUUAACGUCACCAUCCGAAAGACGUGACCGGGGCUCGAACCUCGAACCUCUGCAUCAAUUUGUAACUUCACCACAUAGCUUGGAUUACAUGCGCACGCCACAACGCCCACCUUCGUCAACGGCCGGCCCACCAGCAACAAGUGCACGGCCCCAAUACGUCAUCACACCCAUUAUCAUACCCAUCAUCACCUCACCCGUCUUCAGUGACUUCAGUCAGCCCGUGGCAGCAAGAAUUAAGUCAGAAGGCAUCCACUAGAUCAAUGAGCACAGGGGCCGCGGAACGGUUUUUAAAGAAGGGGGUGGGCUGAGUCGAAAGUUUGGGGCUGACCAUGCAUAAAAUCAUAAUCAGAUGGACAUUUUUUUUACGUUUUUGAACAUUUUUUAAAGAAAAAAAGUGUGGGGGCUGAAGCUUUCGCAGCCCCCCCCCCCAU